CGUGGCUCCAGAGACUGACGCUGUGCCUGGGUGGAGGUGUCUUCAGUCAAUACUUACCGAAUGCAUGACUCCAUGGAAGGAUCAAGGAGUGGAGGACAAGACUGGCAGGUGGACACAUGGACUGGGCCAGAUCACAAAAGGUCUUAAGUAUUAGCGUAAGAAGGCUGGCAUGGAUCAUCAGGCCCACCUUCCAGGAGGGGAGACUGAGGCCCCACCAGGCUCAGAAAUGCCCCCAUAGUCAAAUGACCUGGCCCAUUCCAAGUGGAGCCUGUGACCCCACCCCACCCUUGAGCUUCUCCCACUGCAUUUAAGCCCAGCCCAGCCCGGCACUGGGAGCUGUUCUGGAAACAGGGCACUGUCUGCCCCAAGUUCUGCCCGGAACUGGCCCCCCCCACCUACCCCUAAGUGCCCCCCUUAGUUGGCAAAUGCCUCGAGAGUCUCCUUCCUUCCCUUCUCCACCGCAACCAUCCUGAGAAUAUCCUCACAGAGAAGAAAGAGGCAAGGAGAUUCCUUAAAAAGCCAAAUAUCCUGGUGAGAAGCUGCUAUUAACCUCCUGGGAAGCUCCAGAGAAGAAAUAGCAGGGAGUGGGGAGGCUGCCCGACUCCUGGGCAAUGAUGGAGAGCCAGGAGGCGGCGUCAGGUGCAGAGAAGAAAUAGCAGGGAGCGGGGAGGCUGCCCGACUCCUGGGCAGUGAUGGAGAGCCAGGAGGCAGUGUCAGGUGGCGGGUGGGCGGAGAGGCGGCAGCAUCCAAUGAUUCCCAUCACACAUUCAACGUCUGGCAGCUCCUGCUGAGUGAGCACCUGCUGAAUGCUCAGGGGCCUCUGCAGGCGCGGCAAACCUUGAGGGCAGAGCCGGUGGUGCCAACUCCAUGAUACAGAUGAGAAAAGUGAGGCCCAGGCGAGGCAAUGGGCACGUGGACGUAACCAAGGUCACACAGCUCAGGAAGGCCGGGACUGCAGCUUUGAAACCACAUCUGUCUGAAGCCGAAGUCUAGGAGAGAAAUAGACAGAUGGAGGGCAGCAGGG
rnacentral:lncRNA from 1 species